rnacentral:lncRNA from 1 species
UAGUACCAGGGACAGGCGCUCUAGUACCAGGGACAGCGAGAUAGAUAGGCACUCUGAUACCAGGGACAGUGAGAGAGAUAGGCACUCUGGUACCAGGGACAGGCGCUCUAGUACCAGGGAGAGAGACGAGGACAGGCGCUCUAGUACCAGAGACAGUGAGAGAGACAGGCACUCUGGUGCCAGGGACAGGCGCUCUAGUACCAGGGAGAGAGACGAGGACAGGCGCUCUAGUACCAGGGACAGAGACGAGGACAGGCACUCUAGUACCAGGGAUUCUUUGACCCCCCCACCCCCACCCCCCGACCCCCCCCCUUAAAUAAAACGCAUUGCUGUCGGGGGGCUG